AUAUAUAUAUAUAUAUAUAUAUAUAUAUGCAUAUGUGUGUGUAUAUAUGUAUAUGCACAUUUAUGUAUAUAUAAAGAUGCAUAUGUGUAUAUGUAAGUGUGUGUAGAUAUGUAUGUAUAUAUGUAUAUAUGUAUGUGUGUGUUGGUGUAUGUCUAUGUAUAUAUAAAGAGAGAAAGCGUCUGUGUAUAUGUGUGUGCGCGUGCAUGUGUGUGUGUUUGUGUGUGUUGUUGAUGUUUCUUCCCCAUCUAGACCUGAUCCCGGAGACGUUCCACACAUGACCAUCCUGUAAUCUUUUCAGACUUAGUGCAUCUAGGACUACAUUAUCAAAUGUUUUGUUACUAUUUAGCCCAAGGUCGGCCAUGAUCCAGGAGGUUUGUGAUCAAAGGCGUUCCAGAUGCACCCAUUUCAUGCUUUUUAUGAGGAUGAAAUAAUGUAUCUCCGACCACAUUAUUCAAAGGGGUGCCAGUGAAUUUUGAACCAGCAAACCUGUGGUUCAAGGUGUUCCACUGGUGAUUAUUCUAGGUUUAUACAGAUACAUAGAGAGGUUUUAUAAAAAGAACGAGAGAGAAAGAGAGAGAUAGAGAGAGAGAGGGAGAGAGGGAGGUGAGUGAAUGAGGUUAAAAAGGGAAAAGAACAGAAAGGACGAAGUAGAUUGAAAGAGAGAGAAAGAGAGAGGGAACUGAAAGAGAGCCAGAGUUAAAACAGGAGAGAGAGAGAGAGAGAAGAGAGGGUGAGCAAGAGAGGAAAGAGCAAGUAGGAAGAGAAUUAAUAAAAAAUGAAGGAUCAGUUAUAUAUGGGAAAGGGGUGUGGGGGUAAAAUAGUUGUGACGAAGUGGGGUGGCAGUCGAUAAAACAAGGUAUGAAUGCUGAAAGGGUAAUUGUGAGGAGGUUGGAGUGUUGGGGUGAGGUGAUGUUCUUGGCAAUAAGGGUGAGUAAAGCUGGCUGACCUUUAGGAGGACUGUGUUGACCGCUGAGUGAUGAAAGGAUAAUUGGGUGGCUGUAAUGAUAGCUGGGGUGUUGUAAUGACAGCUAGGGUAUUGAAAUAAUAACUGGGGUAUUGUAAUGAUACAUGGGGUGUUGUAAUGGUAGCUGGGGUGUUUAAGGAUAGCAAAGGGGUUGUAAUUAUUACUGGGGCAUUAUAAAGAUAGCUAGGGUAUUGUAAAGAUAAGUAGGACAUUGUAAUGAUAACUGGGUGGCUGUAAUGAUAGUGACGAAAGGAUAACUGGGACAUUGUAAUGAUAAAUGGAGUAUUGUAAUGGUAGCUGGGGUGUUUAAGGAUAGCAAAGGUGUUGUAAUUAUUACUGGGGCAUUGUAAUGAUAAGUGGGGUAUUGUAAUGAUAGCUGGCGUAUUGUAAUGAUAGCUAGGGUACUAUAAAGACAAGUAGAACAUUGAAAUAAUAACUGGAGUAUAGUAAUGAUGGCUAGGGUGUUGUAAUGAUGACAGGAUAUUGUAAUGAUAGCUAGGGUGUUGCAUUGAUAAGUGGGGCACUGUAAUGAUAACUAGGGCAUUAUAAUGAUAAAUAGGAUAUUGUAAUGGUAGCAGGGGCGUUGUAAUGAUAGCUAAGGUGCUGUAAUGAUAACUGGGACAUUGUAUUGAUAGCUGGAGGUUUGCUAGGUCCAUAACUUUAUGUGUCUUUCUGAGAAAAAUACAAUGUCGCUGAAUGGUGUUCUUCUUCUUCCAUUAGGAUAAGGAAGUCACCAAAAUAUGUCCCCCGAUAUGGCCUCAUGUCCAUCCCGAUAGCAGUAACCAAUAAAGCCUACCCUGCGUUGAGCAACAAAACCCCGACUUCCUACGCAACCGCUGAGCCUGGAUGCGCAUUCAUCCAUCCGUCGGUGCUCUCGGUGUCGGGGGUUGACCUGCUUUCUCUUCUGCGGGUCUUACGAAUAGCAAAGGACCACGUUUCGGACUUCUCCCACUACAGACAAAUGGGACGAAGACCGCUUCGCUCAACAAACAAACAAACAAACAAACAACAACAGAAAAGAUGGGCAGAACUCGUCCAUUAUUUACCUAUUUAGGCCGUGUGCUCACGCCACGAGAUAUAUUGAGCACUCAUGACAAUCCUAGAGUGCCUACCACCAAGGGGACCUUGAAGCUUCUUUCUCGUAGUCCAGGUUUCGGUUCCAAAGAGAACAAUAUUCUCUUCAUAUGCCCCACCCCCUACCGCGCCAAGGUCAGCAUUCAUUUAACGAUUGUGGAAAAAGUGGAAGUUUUGUAAGUGUUAUGAAUUGAAACAAAUGUUUCCGCUUCCUUUCCACCCCACACCCAACUUUACCUGCUCACUCUUAACUUCAUUACCUUCUUCCCACCUCUUUCUCUCGCUUCUUUCCCUGUUACUAUCAUUAAUGAAGGUUGACUUUAUUUUUCACAAAUCCGGUGUUUCAUAAAGUAUAAUACUAGUCAAGUAUCAAGGUUUAUUAAAUUGUGUAAAACCCUUUCCUUAAAUUGGAGGUUUGAUGCCUAUCUUACAGAUAGAAAACUGGCGGUGGGUCUCACUGAAGAGAGCCUUUAAAAUAGAAUCGAUUAGCAAAGAGGUAGCGACAGAAUACAAUUAAUCAGAGAGCGAAAUAGUCACCAGGUGAGAAGAGUCGAUUUGGAAAGGCAUCGCAACCGACAUGUCGGCAGUUAAAAUGGCGCUUGACUAUUUUUCGACAAAAAGCAUGAGGGCUGCGUUGUCAGAAAUCAGACACAACGACACCAAAACCGAUAGAUGGCUUUGAGUGGCAAAAACGCAACGAGGUGAACAAAAUCAUAAUUGGGUCUUUGAACAAGCAUGACUGACGCAUGCUUUUCGACAGGUGUGUACGGUUUCCCAGUAACACUUUGCUGAACUGGGUGGACCCAUGACAAUGGACUUGAAGGCCUGCCCUGACGACUUGCUGAAGCGGUCAGUAUAAAAAAAAUGGAAUGUGGCCAAAGAAAAAAAAACGAAAACAGUAACUGAGAUACGGUCGACGGUGAGAAGCUAUGCAAUGGGUGGAUCGCCUGGUUCGGAAGGUCUACAUCACGACAUUUGUGGGUCCACUCCAAACGUGUUGGCCUCUUUCUUGGUGUAACAUCUAAAUCAGGGGCAGGGAAACCCCCCCAGCCACGGGCGCAAUUGCGCCUGUGAGCCCAUUUUAUUACGCCCACAGCCUGAUAUAAUCUUAUGUACAAAAUAUAGUAAAUUUUUCAAUUAUAAAAUUUAUACAAUAUUCGUAUACCUAUUUGCAACAUAAGUCGUGUUUCCACUUCGACUUAAAACGGUCAGACUCGAACAGAAACCGUCCAGUAAUUGCCAUUUGAAUGGAAAAUUUGUUUUCCCUAUAAAACACAUACAGCUAGGUUUGUACAAGACCCUUGAGACCCACCUACACUCUAUCUGGAAAAUAUAGAAUACCUCAUAAGUAAUAUAAACGUCCUAAAUUCAGUGGCAGGCGUUAAUUUAAUGUGUUAAACUUAUCGUUAUUAAUGUCUAUCGCAUUAUAAAUAGAUAUAUACAAGAAUUACACAGAAAAAAAAGAGUUAGAACUUGUGAUCCGCCCACGGAAAUUUCUCCUUGGAAAUUUUUGCCCACUGCACUAAACUCAAUCGAUAACUCAAUGCAAACAUUGCUAUCUAUAUUAACUGAUGAAUGGAGACGCUGCUAAGGAAAUGUGUAAAGGGAGCAUCAUCGACCAUUUCCAGUUCUUAGUUCUACUGAACGCAAAGAUAGUGAAAAGAACUCGGGAAGUCGGUGCUUGGCGUUGUUUACUAUGGUCAGGAGUGCACAGACUUGAGCGAUUCCCUAUAAAUCUAUCCACGACUCCCCACACCUCAUACGAUAUUUUGGAGGAAAGGUGAACAAAAACCUGAUCAACUUAGAUAAAUGUAAAACCAUCGAUGGGGUGGACCGUCAGUACUUGACGGCGCUCCUCAUUGCGGCUAAUUUCAGUUCUGUUUUCAGAUGCGAGAUCAAUAAUGUACAGCGGCAUCUGCUAUGUGAAUUGACUGAAUAGCUACCUAUUUGAACUGUUUCGAAUCAGAGAGGCAGGCUGGGUCUGUCACGGAUGGCCUCACUCUUCGCUUCUGUACGUUUUGGUUAUUGUAUCUCUUGCGAAACACCAAAGAACAUAUCGCUUGGACAGCGAUAUGGUAAGGCCGAGUUGAUUAUGGUCUUGGGAAACACCAUAUCUGUUGUUGAUAAGGUGUUUGAAAACCUGGAAAUCGAGGUGGUUGGCACUGGAGAAAAUACGAGGUAAUAACAGAAAGGACCUCAUGAAACAGUAGAUUCGGUGAGUCUGCAACUCAGCCUUAUACCGGCCUGCAACGUGGGUCGUUAAACCGAAGACGCUGUUAAGAUAGAUACCACCCGUAUACAUACAUACAUAUAUAUAUAUAUAUAUAUACAUACAUAUAUAUAUAUAUAUAUAUAUAUAUAUAUAUAUAUAUAUAUAUAUAUAUAUAUAUAUAUAUAUAUAUAUAUAUAUACAUAUAUACAUAUAUACAUAUAUAUAUAUAUACACACACACACAUAUAUAUAUAUUUAUAUUUAUAUAUAUAUAUAUAUAUAUAUAUAUAUAUAUAUAUAUAUAUAUAUAUAUAUAUAUAUAUAUAUAUAUAUAUAUAUAUAUAUAUAUAUAUAUUUGUAAAAAAAGAAGUUUGAAAACGCCACUAUAUUAGAUAAAUUUUAAUUUUCUUAUGAAUUUUACAUGUUUCGGUUCUUGAAAAAACGAACCUUAUCAAAAAUAUUAUUAAAAAAUAUUAUAAAAAGUGUAAUGGAGAAGAAAAGUGUAAUGGAAAAGUUCAUAAUCGUUUCUAACUGGUCUCGAACCUUAUCAAAAAUAUUAUACAAAGUGAAAAUAUAUAUUUGCAUGUCUGUGCACCCAUGCAUGUGUUUGGCUGUGUGCGUCAGAACUGAUUUCGUAUAUAUAUAUCUGUCCUUUUUAAAACACCUCGUCACGUUUCCAGUUCAUGAGAGACUCUGUAUGAGGUCGGGCGAAAAAAAAAUUUUCAUUUUUCUUUCUCUACUCAACUCAGAACUACGACUACUAUACACCCACGCAAACCCAAACCUAUGUAUGUAGAAAACACCACAGCAGGUCUGUUAUUCCACACAGUUUCUUAGUCAAUUAACACCCCGUACUCCCACCCUAAAUUUCUAUACACGUAACAGAUAUAUAGUCAAGAGAGAAAGUAAAGUGGUUAAGAUACUUGGAGUCUGGUUCGAACCAGACAUCAGGUGGAUAAUGGAGUGCAAUGAUGACUAUUAGCAAAGUUACUUGUCUGAUACAGAAAAGGGAAAACUACACCUGAAAGGUCGUCGGGUCAGGCUGAUAAACGCAUACAGCACCUUCGUUAUUUAUGACACCCAGACUGUCAUGUCUUCACCCAGUUUUCAUUUACUCGGGUUUCGGGUUGUUGGCGCGUCUUUUCUUUCUUUUAUUUUUUUGCUUCUUUAAAAAGGGUCACACGCAUUUCAUUGAUCAGAACAUCCAACUUCUACCAACACAUUCUGCACGAACGAGUCAGAAUGAGAUUCGUCGCUAUUGUUAGUAGUAGUAGUAGUAGUAGUAGUAGUAGUAGUAGUAGUGGUAGUAGUAGUAGUAGUUUAGUUCCCGGUGGCUUGGCCCCACGCACCCCAGUAGCGUGACUUCUCGACCUGUCGUUCUCCUAGUGACAUGGAAUUCUCUCAUUCACGUUUGAACACGUAAGGAAAGUUUAAAGAACAGAGGUCGACAUCGUUGUUGUUAUUGUUGUUUAGAGUGAAGGCACGUAGCUUAGUGGUCAGGGUAUUCGGCAAGCGAGCGUAAGGUUGUGAGUUCGAUUCCUGGCGGCGGCGUGAUGUAUCCUUGAGCAAGACACUUUAUUUCAUGUUGUCCCAGUCCACUCAGCUGGCAAAAAUGAGUUGUACCUGUAAUUCGAAAGGACGGUCUUGUCACAUUCUGUGUCACACUGAAUCUCCCUCAGAACUACGUUAAGGGAUACUCCUGUCUGUGGAGUACUCAGCCACUUGCACGUUUAUUUCACGAGCAGGCUGUUCCGUUGAUCGGAUCAACUGGAACCUUCGUUGUCAUAACCGACGGAGUGCCAAUUAUUGUUGUUUAAAUCUGAAUUGAAGACAAGUUAACCUUCUCAUUAUAACACCCCUUAUGACGAGAGCAAGUUAUCCGUUCCCUGUAACACCCCUCAAGACAGUCUACAACGAAGACGAAUGAACAUUAACAUAACAUCACUUAAAACAGCCUAUAAUGAGGGCAAGACAACCUUCCUGUUAUAAUCCCGCUUAAGGCAUUUUAUAGGAAGAGCAAGUUAACCUUCUCAUUGUAACAGGUAUUGAAACAGUCUACAAUGAAAAUAGUUAACUUUACUUUCCUUGAAAAAUCUUCUCCAGGAGAAGAUUGUUAAUUUGCCAUAAAACAACCACCAACGAAAGCGUGUUAGCCUAUUCCUUAUAACACACAUCAAGGCAGUCGACAUUAGAGGCAAGUUUAUUGCUAUAUAUAAAAGUAAUUUAUGUUUCCUUACUACUUACACCCUUCGCUUCCUAUAAAACAGGGACCAUUGACCACUUCUCUUCGCUGUUCUCGACUCUGGGCUGUCUUUUAAGGCUUUUCUCUCUCAAGUUUUGUCGUAUUUGAAUGGUUAUCGAUGUAUCUUUACUAUUUCUAUAAAAGGGGUGUCGACCCUAUGUAAACUCAUUUUUAGUUCUGAGAAGUAGUGAUCUAUAUUUGUCUGGUAUCUAUUAUCUGACCAGUCCUGCAUUGGGAGUCCCCAAGCGGGAGCUUGCGUUCCGUUUACAUAGCCCUCAAAGUCAAUAAGGCUCAUAAACCAGUAUGCACUAACAAGGACUGACCUUUGUUAAUAACUAAAUUCAUGUUUAGUUAUUAGCACAAAAAUCAAAUAUAAUUUGCAGUUUAGUUCAGCACUCCAUAUCGUUGUAUUAAUUUCAUAAACAACGACGGAGCGUCUAUAAGGUCGAGUGUUCAAUCUUCAAGAAAUAGCAGCUAAAUUCCGCUCGAAUCACACGCUUCUGGCAGGGUUAUUAGAGCGCUGGACAGAAUACUUGACAGUAUUUGUUCCAAGCACUCCCACAAAGAUUAGCUUUGUUUUCUUCCUUUCGGGGUCGAUGAAAAAAAAAGACCAAUGCAAUAUGAUGAAUUGGUGUUACAGAAUGAAGGCCUGGCACUAUUCCUUCCGCCCCUUUGCAUUCCGAGUUCAAAACCUGCCAUGGUCUACUUAGCUGAUAGAUUUAACCAGUCGCCCUCAACAGAGUCCACUCUGUUGCAAAACUCUCGCGACAGGUGUCAGGGUGAGGAUAACUUCCACGUACAAUAAACACUUUAAAUGUAUUUGAAAUGACAGAACCACAGAGAGUACCGGAUUUAAAACCAAACAUACAGUUUGUUCUGGUUUCGAAUGUAUCUGAAGUCAACCCAACCCCUGGGGCCAAUCAAAUGAAGUGUCAACUUUCUCCCUCCCAUUAGUUUCAGAUGUCUUAUAAAGGAUCGUAGGCGCUGCCUUCCCUACAAACUAGAAGAUAAAGAUUAAGAUAAAACGGCAAAGCAUAUUGGAUAAAGCAGUCUAGAAAAGGCAGAAAAAACGGGACGGUCAUGGUUGGAAUACUUUUGAUCAUAGGUCAGGUCGAUUAUGGCCGACCUGGGAUACUCAAAAAGCAACAUCUGCUACGUGCUUGGAAAUUCCGACGGGAAACAAGGUGUUAAUUGAUUGAGAAACUGUGUGGAAUAACAGACCUGCUGUGGUGUUUUCUACAUACAUAGAUUUGGGUUUGCGUGGGUGUAUAGUAGUCGUAGUUCUGACUUGAGUAGAGAAAGAAAAAUGAACAUUUUUUUUCCCUCGACCUCAUACGGAGUCUCUCAUGAACUGGAAACGUGACGAGGUGUUUUAAAAAGGACGGUUAUAUAUUCGAGUUCAGGGUAGAUACACACAGAUUGAUAAACACAUUCAUAGUUGCACAGACACAGAAAUAAAUACACGGGUAGGAGACAGAAAGAUGCUUCAAAUUAGGUUCAAACGAUUAUUCAGAAGUAAAAAGAAAAAAAAGAGAUGAAUGGAGGAGAGAAAUGGGUAGGCGCUUAAUCAAUAAACUAAGCAUGUUUUAAGCAAUCUCAAGACCUUCAAUGAAAGAAAACAGAAACAAAAAAAGCCGACGCUCUGCGAAGCUACGAAUGUUGGUUAUAGGCUCGGCUCGUGUCCAAGAGAAUACGAGUGUGUGUGUGUGUUCCUCUAUUUAUACGUGUAUGCGCAUGAAGGGAUGAAUAUACAUACAUACACACACACACACACACACACAACCACACAUAUAUAUCUAUAUAUAAUAUAUAUUGGUUUCAAAUGUGUUUGUGAAAGGUCAAAAAUUUCGGGCGAGAGGUUAAAAUCGAUUACAUCGACCCUCAGUGUUCGACUGGUACGUGAUUUUAUCGGCUCAGAAAGUGAGAAAGCCAAAGCUGACCUCGGCGUUAUUUGAACUCAGGGCCUGAAGAAGGGCGAAAUGCCUCUAAGCAUUUUGCCCGACGGUUUAACGACUCUGCCGGCUCAACGCCUCGCACCUGUCUGUAAUAUUAACUGAGAAUGUCCCCUGCACUUUUGCUGUUACUCUUUAUUUGUAUUUACAUUUGCUUUGGUUUCUGUCUUUCUGUAUACAUACACAUACAUCAUAUAUACAAUAUAUACACACCAACAUGUAGAAACAGAUUGGUAACUGUAUAUAUAUAUAUAGAUAUAUAUAUAAAUUUAUAUAAGUAAGGAUAAGAUCGUUAAUUUAUAAUAAAGUAACGAUUUUAUCAAGUGGUCAGCAUGGAAAAAAUAACCUUCAAAGGUUAUCAUUAUUAUUACGUUUGAAGUUUAUAUAUAUAUAUAUAUGUGUGUGUGUGUGUGAGUGUUAAAUACAUACAUGUAUAUAAUGUUCAUAACGCAGGGGAGAGUGGAAAAUUUUAUUCCCAUCCGAAAACUUCUUUAUUCAAAAGUUUUCUACGGCAUCUAAACCAGUUUGAGAGAUAAUUCGGUAACCACCACGAUAAAGUAUCUCUUUCAUAUCCUAUAUAUAUAUAUAUAUAUAUAUAUAUGUGUGUGUGUGUGUGUGUGUGUGUGUGUGUGUGUGUGUGUAUUGUAUAGAGGGCAUUAUUACACAUAAAUGUGUAAUAAUGCCCUCUAUACAAUAUAAAUAAAUAUUUUCAAGUGAAAAAAUUAUUUUCGAAUUUUUUCUCUUAUGAGGUUUUUCACGCUAACUACCUGAUAAUUUCUUGUUAAGAUUCCUUAUUAAGAUUUUAUCCUUAAUUGUUAUAUGUAUAUAUAUAUAUAUAUAUAUACAUUUUUUUUAAAUAUAUAUAUAGUUGGAAGCUGACUCUCAGCUCUGAGCUUAUCGUAGUUUGUUUUGUUUGUUUGUUUAUUCCCCCGACCCCCUUUAUUCACGCUGACCGUGGUUCACUUUAUACACCCGUCAUUUUGUCCUUCUUUGGUCUGACUAUAUUCUUGCACGCUUCUCUAAUCUGAAAAUCCCGACAUCCAAUAUGUACCAACUGAACUCUAAUCCUUAUCCUCUAAACUAGGACGAGUUAGCGAACGGAACCUGAGUGUGGUGAAACGAAUUGCUAAAAUCAGUAGCUACAUUACCCUCUGGCAAAAGCAGGCAUGUACAAUGUGGUCCUGGAGACGGUUGUUUCGAAAUAAGAUAGGGGUAUCAAUUGGUUGUCACACAUUAGUCAUAAGUCUAUAUGAUCGGAGCUGACCAGGGGUUAAACAACAACAAGAACAGCAGCUUAAGCAAGAAAGCUUCUAUGUGAUCGCAUGACCGGCUAGAAACAGCAGCCAGAUUCUCAUAAAGGAAAAGGAACGGCAUACUAGGAAAGAUUGCGUGAAAUAAGUUAUAUCUGAAAGCAGGAAGGUUAAGACUGCGGCACUUUGCCUCUGUCGUGCCAUAGGUCGUCUGCUCGAUAAAGAUUUACCUGUAGCUAAACAACAGCAACAACAACAAUCUAUAUAGGUAUAUAGAACGACAGUGGGAGCAUCUGUGUGGUCGCCUGAUCGCAAGAAAUAGCAGUCAAAUCUAAAAUACUGUCUUAUACGUGAGAAAUGACAAUCUAAAGGGGUUACGGAAUUUGAACACAGUACGUAGCGGCAGACGAAAUACCGCCAGGCAUUUCGCCCGGCGUGCUAACCAUUCUGCCAGCCCACCGGUUUGCCUCUAUAAAUUAUUGAGCGAAAUAUAGUGUACUUGUUGAAAUUGUUGUUGUUGUUUAACUUACUGUCAGCCAUCGUAGAGCAGAUUUAGGUUUAAAGAGAUUUUUGCGUUUGCCAUUACAUUUAUUUCGGGUUUAAACAAUAAAGAAUGCCAUCUUCUCAAAACAAUGCAGUAUAUGGAUGGAAGGAAGAUUAGCUACUAUUUUCAGGAAGUCGAGUAAAGUCGUUGAGCUUCCCUUGUCGAUGAAAUAUUUGUUACUACUAUUAUUCCUGGUCUUGUAGUUGAACCGAAGUAGACCACCCAUGAUCAAAAGCGUUCCACCUAAGACCAUCUCUGUGCAUUUUCCAGCAUAGUGAUCUCCCGACUUCGUUAUGUAACGUGUUGUGUUUGAGGACAAUAGAGAUAUAGUCUGAAGGAAGGACAGCUGCCAUUUCUGGCAAGACAAGCGACUGUGUAGAUGGCUCUCCCAUCGAUGUAAAUUUUGUAGAUUCUAAUUGUCGUUUAAUAGAGUUUGCUGUUUGUUGAAACUAAUUAGAAAUUAGAAAGUGAAAUCUCAACUGUGAUAUUACAUACAUUUACACACACACACACACACACACAUAUAUAUAUAUAUAUAUAUAUAUAUAUAUAUAUAUAUAUAUAUAUAUGUCUCUUACGCGUAAAAACCGCAGCCGACCCACGAACUAACAACACACAUACCUUAUGGAUGUGUGUUCGAUUUUAUUUACAGACUAUAUCUCCACCAUAGUGUGCCUGGUGUAAAAACAAAUUUAAAAAAAAAGACACCUGAAAGUCAUUGUCAAGCGAGACAACCCACAUCAGGUUCCUUCUCGACAGACAUCGAUGUCUCGUCAUUGCUUUGACUUAUCAAUGCUGCAAAAAUCAAAGGUGAAAGCAUUGAUAAGUCAAAGCCAUGACAAAACAUCGAUGUCUGUCGAGAAGGAACCUGAUGUGAGUUGUCUCGCUUGACAAUGACUUACUUUCAGGUAUUUCUUUUUACACCAGGCGAAUAGGAAAUAUAUUCCCUUAACCCUAAAAACCACUGCCGACCCACGAACUAAUAGCAUAACAACAUACAUAGCUUAUGUAUGCGUGUUCGAGUUUGUAUACCAAUAUAUAUAUAUAUAUAUAUAUAUAUAUAUAUAUAUAUAUAUAUAUAUAUAUAUAUAUAUAUAUAUACAUAUACAUACAUACUAUAUAAUCAGAGUUCAGCAACGAUUUGCUUCACCACACCGAAGUUUAGAAAUAGCAGUAAAAAAAUCUUAGCUAUUCCUUCUACCAAAAAAACCAAAGCAGAAAGAAUAGCUAAGCUUUUUUGACUGCUAUUUCUAAACUUCGGUGUGUGGUGAAGCGAAUCGUUGCUGAACCCUAAUUAUAUAGUAUUACUUAAACUUACCAUGAAAUGGUAUUUUUUCAUGCCGAAUUCUACUUGGUGAAAUUAUUGAUUACUUCUUAAAUUAAUUAAUUUCACCCUUUGUUAUUAUACAUAUAUAUAUAUAUAUAUAUAUAUAUAUAUAUAUAUAUAUAUAUAUAUAUAUAUAUAUUAUGCCCCGGUAACUGAAGAGAUGUUGGUGUGGAUUUCCACCUCAGCAUCCGAAACUCAGAGUUUCAUCUUGACUACCGAAUAAUUGUCACAUAUUAUAUUUACAGAUAAAUGUCCUCUAUUUACAUAAUAUUGAGGUCUCUUUCUUUCUUUUGUUACCUUACCGUUUUUACCAAUAUAUAUAUAUAUAUAUAUACACAUAUAUAUAGUCUACAGAGUCUGUAAAUUUUGCCUGUAGUGUGUGCACGAUUUUUGUCCGUAGUGUAUAGUCUUUGUAGUGUGUAUAUAUAUAUAUAUAUAUAUAUAUACCAUAUGUCAGUGUAUGAUGUCUGAAAUUGUAUUUCUACCAUUUUCCGUUUGCUUCCAUUACUCCCAAAGGGUUCCAAUUAUAACAAAAGAUACCAUUUAACUCUAACUCUAAUACUAACGGUUUCAAAUUUUGGCAUAAGGCCAGAAAAUAAAAACAAAAUUUCAUUGACUAGUAUAGGGCACGAGCCUGCGACAUUCGCGUUAUUAGCACGACGCUCUAACCAACUGAGCUAACCGGCCAAAACCCUUAAGCCACCAGAAGCGAUCUAAUCAUCCCCUUCUCCAAUCUCCUUUCAAACAAAGGAUAAGGGUUUCCACUGUACUCAAUUGAUUUAGUUAUUAGAGUAAUAACAGCCCUUAUUUAUUAAUCCUUUACAUUUUAUUUACACCACUAUUUACCUGUUAAGUUGUGUGGCCUACAGUUGAACUCAUAAGAAAAUGUCGUGGGUUCGGUUCCUGGAUCAGCUGGCGUGUUGUGUCUUUGAUCAAGGCACGAUACUCCAGUCAAACCAGCAGCAAAUUUGUACCAGGGUUCGAACGGCUCUCUCUCUCUUUUCAUCCCCGAUGUUUUGCUGGGUUAAGGAAUAACAGGGACUAAAGGAUGUCUAUGUCUGCUCGCGAUUACACAGGCUCCUGAAACAAUUAGCAAAAGCAUGGUACAUGCUCCCGGGUCAUAAGCGCUUGCAAGUUUCUAUUUUAUUUAGUUUAGUUUUUAUUUUCUAAAUCCUUCUAUUUCGAUAAAUCCUCGAUUCCCUUCCAUUCAACUUUCUACGCAGAAAGGAUCUUUUUAUCUUUUAUCUGUUCCAGGUAUAUAAAAGAUCCGAAACCAAUCUUUAAUACCAACUUACAAGAGCUUCAAUUUAUUCACCAAUCUAUAUACGCAUGCGUAUCUUACAGUUAUAUUAUGGUCACUUAACCCCAGGUCAAUAAUAGGCGUGCAAAUCUGUGAUUAAAAUGUCGCAGAAAAAAAAGCCACAAGACGGAUUCUUCUAUCCGAACCAACUUGUAGGAGACUUGUAGGUAGGCAAAGAACAGAAUGGUUGGAUAACAUCCAUAAUUUCUGUUGGUCACCCCUGAGUAUCUAGCCGGAAAGUCUAAUGACAGUUGCUUCUCGUAGGACCCUAUGGAGGAGGUGCCUGUGAACUCGACCCCACAACCUUCCCUGGAACAACGGAAAGAGAAAAUGGAUGGAUGGAUGGAUGGAUGGAUGGAUGAAUGGCUGGCUGGAUGGAUGGAUGGAUGGAUGGACAUUCAAACUAUAACCAUCCUGUCUUUUUUUUCUUUCGUAGUGUACAUAAAUACAAUAUGAUUUCAGGGUAGACUUAGCUGUUGUUUCUUGGAAGUCGAAGUGUUGCUAAGUAAAGUAUUCAAACCAUUUGUUGUCCGUUCUGAUUUAUUCGCAUCUCCAUAUUUUACAAUGACCAUCACUACCCGUCCAGCAGCCGUCCGUUCGUGUAUCUUCUGAUUUGGCCAAAACUGAACACCCCAAGACAACGUGAUUAAUAGUUUCUUGGUAUUUACUGCAAAUAAUCUGUAUUUACUGUCUCUCACUUGGUUGGUUUAUAUUUUGAAGAUAAUUAUUUAUGGCUAAACUCUGUUCUUGUCUGGCAAUUAUACAGCUUCCUAACUCAGCUUUUAAACAACCAUUGGUCUUUCGCAUUUUACCUCGCUCCUGUCCAGUCUUGCUGCAUACUGGACACUACAGAGGUUUGUGUUAACACCUAAUUUCUACUUUAUCUUCCUAUUCCAAGUUGCAUUUUAUUGAUUAUUUCUUUUGGGGGUUUUUUGGCGUAUAUGUGUGAUUUUUUUCCUUACAUUUUCAAUUGGUCUGCUGUCCUUACCCCCUGUCCUGACCCUAAAUGCCUACCCGUAUAUAUAUCUCUAACAACAAAGUACUUUCAUUCUCCUCGAUUAUAUCACUAAUCUCCAAGCUGUCCUUACACCCAGCUCUCUCUCUCUCUCUCUCUCUCUUUCUCUCCUUCUCUCUCUCCCUCCCUCUCUCUCUCUCUCUCUCUUUACCUGCCAUCCCUACAAACAUUGGUGAUCAUAGAGCUCCAUACCAAAGUCCGGAAAUUAAUUAUUCUUCUUGCAAAACCAUACUGUAUCUAAGAGGGUACGAUCUACACACUGCCCAUCCGUUUACGUCUGUCCACGGCACGCAUCCGGUCAAAAUUAUACACUGCCUCUACAAGGUUAACAUGUAUACACUGAGCAAAUCCAGUUAUGGUUACACACAACCUACCUGUUAAGAUCUAUACCCUAUCUUUUUGUUAAAAUCUAUGUAUUGUAUAUACCUAGUUCAGAUUACACGCUGUGUAUAUCAGGUCAACAUCUACACACACCGUGUCAAUCCGUUAACAUUUGUGCACUGUUAAGAUUAUUCGAUGUCUACAAGUUUUCCAUCGACACACUAUUUGUCUGUUAAAAAUCUAUACACAGUGUGUAUACAGUUAAUAUUUUAUUCUGUGUCUACCAGGUCAGCAUCCAUACACUGCAUCUAUCCGUUAACAUCUGCACACUGUAUAUAUAAAUAGUCAAUAUAUACCCAGUUAAGAUUAAACAUCGUUUGUACAUAUUGUCUACCAGGUCAGCAUCUAUAUACUGUAUCUACCCAGCGUUUAAAUAGGCCAACCUCUACACAGUGACUGUUAACAUUUAAUACACUGUGUCGAUCCAUUAACUUCUAGACACUGCAUCAGUCCGGUAGUUUGUUAAGACAUGGACACACGGAGCAAUAACCCGAUUCCCUGCGGGUGUAAUGGGAGGGCAAUGCUAAUCCAUGCACGUUCUUUGUGUGUUUGUAGGAGCCCCAGAAUGUUAUUCUUCCUGAUGGCUCGUUCUAUUGUCUUUCUUGUCUUGAGACAGCAUUCACCCGGGGUGGGUUGAGCUGGCUUCAUUCAUCCUCAAUGCUGCAUCUCUCACAAACGCCGACCAGGCCUGGCGAUUUGAGGCUAACGACCGCGUGAUCUCCAACCACUCCUUAUUCCUGGUUCUAUUGCUAUUAAGACAGCUUCGUUUCUAUACACUCAACAUCUACACACCAUAUCUACCCGGUUAAUAUGCCGGGUCUACAUACUCAGUGUGCCUAUCCAUUUAACACGUACAACCCGCAUUAAUCCAGUCAACAAUACGGUGUGUUUAUUCAGUCAACAUUUACACACUGAAUGUAUUCACAUAGCAUGUAUACACUGUGCCUACAUAUUCAACAUCCCCUUACAUCCAUCCAGUCAACAUCCACACAAUAUGUCUACCCACUUACCGUGUACGCACUAAACAUUAUUUCUCCACUCGACACAUACACAUGACCCCGUUAAUAUAUACACACACUCUCUGUCUCUCCGGUUAACACCUACGCAAUGUAUCUACCCAGCUACUAUAUAUACUUUAUUUCUCCGAUCAACAUCUACACACUGCGUUUAUCCAGUUAACCAUAUAUAUACAUAAAUAUAUACAAAUAUAUAUGAUAUAAAUGCGCCCUUUUAAAGCCUAGCCAGGCUCGUGGGCCCGGUUUCCCGGUUUCUAUGGCGUAUGUGUUCCCCAGCUGGACGGGACGCCAGUCCAUCGCAGCGUUACUCAUUUUUGCCAGCUGAGUGGACUGGAGCAACGUGAAAUGAAGUGUUUUGCUCAAGAACACAACGCGUCGCCCGGUCCAGGAAUCGAAACCACAAUCUUACGAUCAUGAUGCUGACACCCUAACCACUUAGCCACGCGCCUCCACACACACAUAGUUUUCUUCAGCAUACUGUAUUUAUCCAGCCAAUACCUCCACAAUGAUGUAUCUACCCGGCUACUAUGUAUAGACUCUUUCUCCGGUCAAUAACAACACCCUGUGUCCAUCCAGUAAGCAUAUACACUCUUUGUCCACCCAGGAAACUUAUACAACAAACUGAGCUUAUCUAUUCAGCAUCAACGACAGAUGUUUGUUGUGUCAACACCUGAAGACUGAUUAACUAAUCAGCGUCUACAGGUAAUGGCUGUGUCGGUCGAUUCGUAGUACAUACCAGUCGUACACUCAAUGUACAUUUUUAAUACAAUUAGUAAUAUUUUCUCAGAGCAAUUAAUGUAUUUAUAAUGAUUGUUCAGCUUCCCAAUCCUUGUGAGGAAGGGUCAGCAUUUAUGAGUUUACCAUUAUUAAUUCCGAAUUAGUCACCCUUUGCUGAAGUUACAGAGAUAUGAGAACUUUUGACUCAAAAGUCUGACUCUUGCGAUUUGGUCAUUUCCAAUCCUCCGCCGUUUGUAAAACCCAAUAAAUCAAAAUCGUCAGUCGAAUGAGUAACCGUUUGUUCCAUUCUUGCAGUGGUUUCAUCGCAGACCAACUUGAUAUUUGACUAACUUUGAUUAAAAUCUUUUUAGCCUUUGGACACCCAUUAUUGGUGUCUUACACACCACACACACACACACAUACUUAUGCAUAUAUAUAUAUAUAUAUAUAUAUAUAUAUAUAUAUAUAAUAUAAUAUAAUAUAAUAUAAUAUAAUAUAAUAUAAUAUACAUAUAUAUGUAUAUACAUAACUUGUUUUAGUCAUAAAACAACAGCCAUGCUCGGGCACCGCUUUCAGGAAAUUGGUCGAAGAAAUUAACCCUGUACUUUAUUUUUUUUUAAGUCUAGUAUAUAUUCUAGCGAUAUAUUCUAGCGAUAUAUUCUAGCGAUGUAUAUGUAUAUAUAUAUUUCGUUUUGGGAUUUGGUUUGCAAGAUUCUUUAUAUGAGUUCGUGUGUUGAAGCAUAUUCUGUUGUGUCUGGGGAGAGUCAUUUUCUUUUUGUGCCUUAUAACGGACAGAGUCAAGACUAUUGAAAAGGUUGCAAGACGCAACGAAAAUUUUAGGAAAAUAAAAAUUAGAAAUAAGUGGAAAUUUUACCAGUGAGUGUGUUACAUUAUAAGGCACAAAAAGAAAAUGACUCUCCCCAGACACAACAGUACAUAUAUAUAUAUAUAUAUAUAUAUAUAUAUAUAUAUAUAUAUAUAUAUAUAUAUAUAUAAAUAUAUAUAUAUAUACACACAUAUACAGUCAAAAAAUCCUAGCUAUUCCUUCUAUUUCUAAACUUCGGUAUGUGGUGAAGCAAAUCUUUGCUGAACCCUAAUUAUAAAGUAUUACUUAAGCUUACCAUGAAAUGGUCUUUUUCAUGCCGAAUUCUACUUGGUAAAAUUACUGAUUACUUCUUAAUUAAUUAAUUUUACCCUUUCUUAUUAUACACAUAUACAUAUAUAUGUAUAUAUAUAUAUAUGUAUAUGUAAAUAUAUGUAUGUGUAUGUGUAUAUAUAUAUAUAUAUAUAUAUAUAUAUAUAUAUAUAUAUAUAUAUCUCGAAACCUUAAGCUCUCUCCUUUUACCGAGCGUCAAACUUAUACACUUAUUGUGCACGUCCUCACGUUCUUUUUCGUUUUUUAUUCGUUUAUUUGAAUUGGUUGUAUUUGAAUUGAAUAUAUAUAUAUAUAUAUAUAUAUAUAUAUACGAUUUCAGCAUAUUUUAACUCGUAUUUUAACUCUGUGUAUAUCAAAAGAAAAAGCUACAAGCAAAACACAACACAAACACAAUGAAAACACAUGAACAUAUCGAAAGAACCAGAAAAUUCCGACGGAUAUCGAUUCUAUUCAUCGGAACAAAGCCUCAUCGGAGGAGAGAAUAAGAUGUACUGCGUAACGUCCUUGUUUGCUGAAGAUAAUUAAUAAUGUAAAAAAAAAGAGAGUGAAAUGGCCGCAGCCUGUAAUUGAAACCGCUUCUGUUGGGUUUCUCUCUCUUGACUUGAACUCGGUCUCUUACCGUUCGUAGCCAACGCAAACACGCAGACGACGUCAAAGCUCGAAGUCACAUUGCCUCAAGUUGUGGGAGGUUCGGCGUGUUUGUGAAAAACAUAUUUGCAUAGUUGGGUAAUAUUUAAUAACAAAGUAAUUAAUAGAAUUAAUUCAUUUAUUCGCUCGCAAUGUGUUGAAUUUAAGAAUGAAGUGGCUAAAAAUACAUCCGUUCAGCUUCAGAGCAAAUGUUUGCGCAGCCGCCACGCCAACUCAUUCAUUCUCCUACAUAUACAAACGUAGUUUAUUUUCUCUAUAAAUACGUAUGAAUGGAUGGAUGGAUGGAUGCAUGGAUUAAUGACAGAUAGAUGGAUUUAUAUAUGUAUAUAUGUAUGGGUACAUAAGUACGCAUGUGUGUAUAUAUGUAUAUGUGUGUGUAUGUAUAUAUGUAUAUAAAUAUAUAUAUAUAUCUAUAUACAUAUAUACACCAUCACACCACACAACACUACACCAUACCACACAACACACCACCACGCACACACAAGCAUUGACCAAUUCCCAUCCCCACAUUUUCGCACCUACACAUAUACACACGCACACGUCAAGAUCACCAGCACUCAUUCACACGCACAUACGUACUCUCUUAUAUACACGCGCACCUUCGUUUUGGGAUCACUACUACUUUGUUAUCUCUCCUACUUCUUAGCUCUCCUGUGUGACCCUUCUGUCCGGCAUUCGCCGUGAUAGAUUGCUAGCCACUACACACAUUUUUUCCUCUCCUUGUUUCUCACCUUGUUUGUUUCUGUGUCCCUUUCUGUAGAAGAGCGUAGGCUCGAAACAUAAAAGUCUUGUUCAAUUCCUGAGCGUUAUACUAAUACAUCUGUUUGUUUUGUACACCACUUGUCUUCGUCUUUUUCCCUAUAUAUAUAUAUAUAUAUAUAUAUAUAUAUGAAUGGUAUCUUUGUAAGAAAAUAUAAACGAGACAGUCACGGCUGGAAUGCUUUUGACAAUAGAUCUUAUCGAACGUGGUUGACCUAGAAUUGUUCAACAACAAAACAUCAAGGACAAUCCAGACAAGUAAUAUUUGUAGUUAACUGAGCUCUCGUGAUACAGACUCUCUCACUCGAUUGAGACGGGAUGGUCACGGCUAGAGUAACUAGGCAGUGCACAUGCAGAAUAAUAGCCAACACAAGUUGCAAUUUAUAGUUAACUGGCCUUUCUCUUCACGGACUGACUCAACUGAAACGGGAUGGUCAUUAUUGGACCAACAAGGGUAGUGUGCAUACAUAGAAAUAGCCAACACAAACAGUAAUUUAUAGUUAGACCGAUUUACUCAACUAAGACAGGGUGGUCACGAGUGGCACGCUUGCGCAGUGUGUGUACGUAAAGAUAAUCAACGCAGGCUAGCUCAGUCGGUAGAACAUAAGACUUUUAUGGCUACUCUAAUAAGUAAUUUGCGGGUCGGGUGUUCAAUUCCUUCCACGGGCGUACGUCCAGUAAUUUACAGUUAAUUAACCUCUCUUUACAUAGGUUCACCCAGUUAAGACGAGAUGGUCACGGGUGGGGCCUCAACAACAGUGCGCAUGCAUAAAGAUGGCCAACGCAUGCAGUAAUUUGUUGUAGUUAACUAACCUUUCUCUCUACGGACUGACUCACUCAAUUAAGACGGGAUAGUCACGACUGGAGCUACAAGGGCGGAUGUGAGCAUGCAGUAAUUUGUAGUUAAAUAAACCUUUCUCUCCACGGACCGACUCACUCAAUUAAGACGGGAUAGUCACGACUGGAGCUACAAGGGCGGAUGUGAGCAUGCAGUAAUUUGUAGUUAAAUAAACCUUUCUCUCCACGGACCGACUCACUCAAUUAAGACGGGAUAGUCACGACUGGAGCUACAAGGGCGGAUGUGAGCAUGCAGUAAUUUGUAGUUAAAUAAACCUUUCUCUCCACGGACCGACUCACUCAAUUAAGACGGGAUAGUCACGACUGGAGCUACAAGGGCGGAUGUGAGCAUGCAGUAAUUUGUAGUUAAAUAAACCUUUCUCUCCACGGACCGACUCACUCAAUUAAGACGGGAUAGUCACGACUGGAGCUACAAGGGCGGAUGUGAGCAUGCAGUAAUUUGUAGUUAAAUAAACCUUUCUCUCCACGGACCGACUCACUCAAUUAAGACGGGAUAGUCACGACUGGAGCUACAAGGGCGGAUGUGAGCAUGCAGUAAUUUGUAGUUAAAUAAACCUUUCUCUCCACGGACCGACUCACUCAAUUAAGACGGGAUAGUCACGACUGGAGCUACAAGGGCGGAUGUGAGCAUGCAGUAAUUUGUAGUUAAAUAAACCUUUCUCUCCACGGACCGACUCACUCAAUUAAGACGGGAUAGUCACGACUGGAGCUACAAGGGCGGAUGUGAGCAUGCAGUAAUUUGUAGUUAAAUAAACCUUUCUCUCCACGGACCGACUCACUCAAUUAAGACGGGAUAGUCACGACUGGAGCUACAAGGGCGGAUGUGAGCAUGCAGUAAUUUGUAGUUAAAUAAACCUUUCUCUCCACGGACCGACUCACUCAAUUAAGACGGGAUAGUCACGACUGGAGCUACAAGGGCGGAUGUGAGCAUGCAGUAAUUUGUAGUUAAAUAAACCUUUCUCUCCACGGACCGACUCACUCAAUUAAGACGGGAUAGUCACGACUGGAGCUACAAGGGCGGAUGUGAGCAUGCAGUAAUUUGUAGUUAAAUAAACCUUUCUCUCCACGGACUGACUCACUCAAUUAAGACGGGAUAGUCACGACUGGAGCUACAAGGGCGGAUGUGAGCAUGCAGUAAUUUGUAGUUAAAUAAACCUUUCUCUCCACGGACUGACUCACUCAAUUAAGACGGGAUAGUCACGACUGGAGCUACAAGGGCGGAUGUGAGCAUGCAGUAAUUUGUAGUUAAAUAAACCUUUCUCUCCACGGACUGACUCACUCAAUUAAGACGGGAUAGUCACGACUGGAGCUACAAGGGCGGAUGUGAGCAUGCAGUAAUUUGUAGUUAAAUAAACCUUUCUCUCCACGGACUGACUCACUCAAUUAAGACGGGAUAGUCACGACUGGAGCUACAAGGGCGGAUGUGAGCAUGCAGUAAUUUGUAGUUAAAUAAACCUUUCUCUCCACGGACCGACUCACUCAAUUAAGACGGGAUAGUCACGACUGGAGCUACAAGGGCGGAUGUGAGCAUGCAGUAAUUUGUAGUUAAAUAAACCUUUCUCUCCACGGACCGACUCACUCAAUUAAGACGGGAUAGUCACGACUGGAGCUACAAGGGCGGAUGUGAGCAUGCAGUAAUUUGUAGUUAAAUAAACCUUUCUCUCCACGGACCGACUCACUCAAUUAAGACGGGAUAGUCACGACUGGAGCUACAAGGGCGGAUGUGAGCAUGCAGUAAUUUGUAGUUAAAUAAACCUUUCUCUCCACGGACCGACUCACUCAAUUAAGACGGGAUAGUCACGACUGGAGCUACAAGGGCGGAUGUGAGCAUGCAGUAAUUUGUAGUUAAAUAAACCUUUCUCUCCACGGACCGACUCACUCAAUUAAGACGGGAUAGUCACGACUGGAGCUACAAGGGCGGAUGUGAGCAUGCAGUAAUUUGUAGUUAAAUAAACCUUUCUCUCCACGGACCGACUCACUCAAUUAAGACGGGAUAGUCACGACUGGAGCUACAAGGGCGGAUGUGAGCAUGCAGUAAUUUGUAGUUAAAUAAACCUUUCUCUCCACGGACCGACUCACUCAAUUAAGACGGGAUAGUCACGACUGGAGCUACAAGGGCGGAUGUGAGCAUGCAGUAAUUUGUAGUUAAAUAAACCUUUCUCUCCACGGACCGACUCACUCAAUUAAGACGGGAUAGUCACGACUGGAGCUACAAGGGCGGAUGUGAGCAUGCAGUAAUUUGUAGUUAAAUAAACCUUUCUCUCCACGGACCGACUCACUCAAUUAAGACGGGAUAGUCACGACUGGAGCUACAAGGGCGGAUGUGAGCAUGCAGUAAUUUGUAGUUAAAUAAACCUUUCUCUCCACGGACCGACUCACUCAAUUAAGACGGGAUAGUCACGACUGGAGCUACAAGGGCGGAUGUGAGCAUGCAGUAAUUUGUAGUUAAAUAAACCUUUCUCUCCACGGACCGACUCACUCAAUUAAGACGGGAUAGUCACGACUGGAGCUACAAGGGCGGAUGUGAGCAUGCAGUAAUUUGUAGUUAAAUAAACCUUUCUCUCCACGGACCGACUCACUCAAUUAAGACGGGAUAGUCACGACUGGAGCUACAAGGGCGGAUGUGAGCAUGCAGUAAUUUGUAGUUAAAUAAACCUUUCUCUCCACGGACCGACUCACUCAAUUAAGACGGGAUAGUCACGACUGGAGCUACAAGGGCGGAUGUGAGCAUGCAGUAAUUUGUAGUUAAAUAAACCUUUCUCUCCACGGACCGACUCACUCAAUUAAGACGGGAUAGUCACGACUGGAGCUACAAGGGCGGAUGUGAGCAUGCAGUAAUUUGUAGUUAAAUAAACCUUUCUCUCCACGGACCGACUCACUCAAUUAAGACGGGAUAGUCACGACUGGAGCUACAAGGGCGGAUGUGAGCAUGCAGUAAUUUGUAGUUAAAUAAACCUUUCUCUCCACGGACCGACUCACUCAAUUAAGACGGGAUAGUCACGACUGGAGCUACAAGGGCGGAUGUGAGCAUGCAGUAAUUUGUAGUUAAAUAAACCUUUCUCUCCACGGACCGACUCACUCAAUUAAGACGGGAUAGUCACGACUGGAGCUACAAGGGCGGAUGUGAGCAUGCAGUAAUUUGUAGUUAAAUAAACCUUUCUCUCCACGGACCGACUCACUCAAUUAAGACGGGAUAGUCACGACUGGAGCUACAAGGGCGGAUGUGAGCAUGCAGUAAUUUGUAGUUAAAUAAACCUUUCUCUCCACGGACCGACUCACUCAAUUAAGACGGGAUAGUCACGACUGGAGCUACAAGGGCGGAUGUGAGCAUACAUAAAGAUGCCACCGCAUGCAGUAAUUUGUAGUUAAAUAAACCUUUCUCUCCACGGACCGACUCACUCAAUUAAGACGGGAUAGUCACGACUGGAGCUACAAGGGCGGAUGUGAGCAUGCAGUAAUUUGUAGUUAAAUAAACCUUUCUCUCCACGGACCGACUCACUCAAUUAAGACGGGAUAGUCACGACUGGAGCUACAAGGGCGGAUGUGAGCAUACAUAAAGAUGGCCACCGCAUGCAGUAAUUUGUAGUUAAAUAAACCUUUCUCUCCACGGACCGACUCACUCAAUUAAGACGGGAUAGUCACGACUGGAGCUACAAGGGCGGAUGUGAGCAUACAUAAAGAUGGCACCGCAUGCAGUAAUUUGUAGUUAAAUAAACCUUUCUCUCCACGGACCGACUCACUCAAUUAAGACGGGAUAGUCACGACUGGAGCUACAAGGGCGGAUGUGAGCAUGCAGUAAUUUGUAGUUAAAUAAACCUUUCUCUCCACGGACCGACUCACUCAAUUAAGACGGGAUAGUCACGACUGGAGCUACAAGGGCGGAUGUGAGCAUGCAGUAAUUUGUAGUUAAAUAAACCUUUCUCUCCACGGACCGACUCACUCAAUUAAGACGGGAUAGUCACGACUGGAGCUACAAGGGCGGAUGUGAGCAUACAUAAAGAUGGCCACCGCAUGCAGUAAUUUGUAGUUAAAUAAACCUUUCUCUCCACGGACCGACUCACUCAAUUAAGACGGGAUAGUCACGACUGGAGCUACAAGGGCGGAUGUGAGCAUACAUAAAGAUGGCCACCGCAUGCAGUAAUUUGUAGUUAAAUAAACCUUUCUCUCCACGGACCGACUCACUCAAUUAAGACGGGAUAGUCACGACUGGAGCUACAAGGGCGGACCGACUCACUCCAUUAAAUAAUAACCCACAACAAUUGACUGAGAUGCUUUUGUUUAUUAUUUGUUUUUAAUGCACUUCUUUUUCCCUUUCCUGGCUUUUUUGUUUGUUUGUUUUACAAGUAUUUAAUAUUAGGUGGGAGUUUCUUUUUAUGUUGUCAUUAGAAGUUCUCAUUAAAAACUCUAUGACGUAAGAGAGAGAUAGGAAAGACGGCCUCCGUUAUAUAAUCAUGCUGUACCAUCGAUUCUGUCUUUGGCCGUAGCAUCAUUGAUUUAACGUGUGAAGCGCUGAAUUCACCCACACAAACAUACACACGCUCUCUUACGCGCACAUACACACAGAAAUACAGGCUCACCACACACAUAAAUCUCUGUUACUCUUUCCUGCCUCUUUCUCUCUAUCCCUAGCAAAAUAUGUGAUCUGGCACCAGGCAGUAUGACACAAAGUUAAACCCAGAACGCUGGGGAACUGGUGAUGGCUUGAGUCGGCAACUUCAAAUCAGUUCAUAUGAAAUACAUAAAAAGUGGAGGCAUAUGACCUAAUGUUUAGAGCAGUGGACUCGCGGUCGAGAGAUCGCGAAUUCGAAUCUCAGACCGGACGAUGUGUGUGUUUAUGAGAGAAAACACCUAAGCUCCACGCGGCUCCGACAGAAGAUAAUGGCGAAAGUUCUGCUGACGCGUUCGCCACAACUUUCUCUCACUCUUUCCUCCUGCAUCUUGCAGCCUACCUGCGAUGGACCGGCGUCCCGUCUAGGCGGGGAACCUAUACGCCAAGAAACCGGGAAACCGGCCCUUAUGAGCCAGGCUUAGGAAAUGGUAAAAGCUGUUUCGGGUUUUUUGUUUUGUUUUUAGAAUGGUAGUGAUGUAGAGAAAGAGAAAAAAAACUGGAACUAGGAAGAAUGUUGUAGUUCGCUUGAAGCAUUGUAGCACACCAGUAGGAUAAUAAAGGAAAAGAGAAACAAAAAAGGGCUUUACUCAAAAUCACAACGCACCACCUGCUCUAGGAAUUGAAACCACGAUCUCGCGAGUGUGAGCGCAACACCCUAACCACUAAGUUAAAUAUGUGUGUGUGUGUGUAUUGUUCUUAGCUGUGGUUGCAUUUCUGUAGCGAAGACCUACGAACUCUUAUGGUUGACUGUGGUUUGUAAGUGAAACAUGGACGUGGAUUUAGCGUCACCGUAAGAUAAGCCAUCUCUGCUCUGAAGAAAAUGUAGUUUGUUGUUGUUGCUGUUGUUGUUGUUGUUUUUGUUACUGUUGUUGUUGUUUUACUGCUGUUUAGCCCCAGGUCAGCGUUGAUCAAACAGACCUUAUAUCAAAUACAUAUGUUAUGUCUUAUUUUUUUGCUUGUUUGCUUUUUUUCCAGGCAUAGUGUAUAAGCGAUUAGAUACAUUAUCUCAUACACACUUUCCUCUUUCUAAAGAUGUUAUGGUAUAAUUUGAGGGAUAUUUGGCUGCUAUUUCUAGAAGGUUAUACGACCUCGUAGAUGUUCCCUCGUCGGAUCUGAAAAAAAAGAAUAAGUAACCGUAGGAGCAGAUAUAGAAGAGUCCAUUAUUUCAGCAUCGUGUUAAAUAUGUUGCGUUGAAUCAAGUAUAUGUUUACUUAAGAAUAGUGGUGGAUCUCCGUCGUAAGACGAUGAAGGCCCAUUUAUUAGAUCAACCCAAUAACCUGUUUCUGAAUAAACGUACAUGUGGCAGACUAAACUCAAGAUACUUAAUUCUGGGGUUGAAUGAUUGUGAUCAUAGAGUGUGACAAGGCCGUACCUCUUCAAUUACAGAUGAUUCAAUUCGAAGGGCUUCUUUACAGUUUUCGCCUGCCCAGUUUCACCCACAGGGUUGUAGAAGAUGACAUGUGCCUGAGAUGCCACGCAGGUGGAUCGAACUCGAAGCCCCGUAGUUGUGAAACAAACUUUUUAAUCAUUUAGCCAUACUGCGCCUAAAUUUCAAUAGGAAUACCCGCUCUACUAAAUGGUUAAAGUUGACAUUAUUAAAUCAAUUUAAAUCUUUACAAUUCGUAUAUAAUACAAACCUGCUAAUAAGAGAAAAUAAUGCAAAAUAUAGCAUUUGGUUUUUUUUAUUGUUUGUCAUGGUUUGAUACACCUACAAAUUUACAUUCGAAAAUCGAAUUAAUAAACGCCUGGCCAGCUCCAUAGAUUCCUUAUGACCCAGGGAUUGAAGAAGUCGAAGCAGCGGAAAAUGCAGUAGGUUGCAUUUUGUUCGGAUGCCUCACUCUCUGGAUAUAUAUGGGAGGAGGCCUUUUUAGUGGAAAGAAGAAAAAACAUUUUCUUUUGAAAAAUUCUUCAGAAGAAAAGGUGAUUUAGGGAAGAUUUGGCAUUUGUUUCUGGCGCGUCCUGCGGCCGCCUGCUACCUUACUUGUUUCUCCUCGGCACCAUGGGAGUCUGCCGUAGUCUGUCUGUGCCUGUUGCUUUCUUUUUAAAUGGUAAAAACUUGACAGUUUCUCAGCGGGAUCCACAAGGUCCUCAUGGCUGGGAAGAGACUGUCUCCAAUCAUCGCUCCACGUGUCCUUAGCACUGAAGCAUUCGUUUACGGAUUUAAAGAAAAAAUUUUGCUUUUUCUUUCCUUUUAACCACUAUUGAAUACCUAGAAAUGGUUGAGACGGCAGAGGGUCGGACAAAUGCUUUGCAGUAUUUCUUCCGGUUCUUUGCUCUCCGAUUUCAAAUCCCAUUGGUUUCAACUGAGGGUUUCGUCGUUUCGUAUUCAAUAAGUCUCAGGGAAGCACUGCUCGUUGGUAACGACUAACCUUCUCCCUCCAAAUUUACUGGCCCCUUCGUCCUUAAAACAGAAAACAUUCUUAAAGAGCGAUGGAUUGGCAGAAUCGUGGGAACGUUUAAAAAAAUGUGCCAUAUAGCAUUUUAUGCGACCCUUUACACUGAGUUCAAAUACUGCCGAAGUCAACUUUGCCUUUCAUCCCACCAGGGUCGAUAAAAUAAAGUACAAAGUACUUGUCAAGUAUUGAGGACGAUGGCACUACUGCCACUACUACUACUAUACUACUGCCACUACUACUACCACUACCACUACUACUACUACUAAUACUACUACUACCACUACUACUACUAGAAAUGAUGCUAUCAACUUCGGUGAGCCACACCAUUUCAACUUCUUUUGCCCGACGUGAUUUCCAACCCCUUAUAAUCCCACGUUUCUUCCCCUUCUCUUAGAAGACUGUCAAUCACAUUUAUUCACGUGAUUUGCCCCGUUUUUGAAUUAUAGACUCGCCUGGUAUCAGAAUAACUUGAGAGAAGGACGAUUCUGACCGAUUCUGGUGUAAGUUCUUAUCCCAUUCUUCACUGUUGUGAUUUUUUGUCAAAAGCACCGAGGUUACCAAAUUUUUUUUGUCCUUUAUUCCACUAACCCAUCAAAUAAAUUUCUUACCAUUCUAUACAUUUCCUUUAUUUCUUUAAAUGUUGAACUGGUCUUUUCUACUUUUCAUCCUUUUAGUUUAAAUCUUUUAUAUCAACCUAUUUCUGAUUAACACAGACAGACACACACACACAUACGUAUACACACACACAUAUAUAUAUAUAUAUUCAUAUAUAUACAAACAUAUAUAUAUAUAUGUACGUACUUACACCCACACACAUACAUAUAUAUGUAUAUAAAUAUAUGCAUGCAUAUAUAUAUAUAUAUAUAUAUAUGUGUGUGUGUGUGUGUGAUUAAAACGUUUGGUAGUAUACAGAACAGUAUAUUGGUAAUAAUAAUAUUAGUAAAAGCAAAUGAAGGACUUGUUCCUACAUGAAUAGGGAGUACAUCUUCAAAUAUACCAUGGAAAUGAAACUAAAUGGCAUGAAAUAAAACAAAAUAAAAUAAAGUGGAAUAUUAACGUUAUCAAAUUUUUAAAUUGUAAAUAUUUUACUGAAUUUUACUUUUAUUAUCACCAAUAUACAUACAAUAUACAUACAUACAGAUAUAUAUAUAUAUAUAUAUAUAUAUAUAUAUAUAUAUAUAUAUUCUUUUCUUGCAUUGCCACAUGGAUUCUCAUGUUAUAUUUUCGUAUGUGUGUAGUUCUCUAGACGGUUUGCGUAGUCUUUCCUGCACAAGAUGCACACUUUUAGGUGCACUUAACUGUCUGUGUAGUCGUCUGUUCUGUCUUUCUUUACGAUUUCGUUGUCCGUUGGUAAUGUUUUAAAAUGAUUACAUUAACGUGAAUAACCGAAACCGUUUCGUCUGGUUAAUAUUAUCAUAAAAAAUAAUCAAGCCAAAAGAUCUUCUCAGACAAUAACUUAAUCCCCCAUUUCAAAAUAAAAAAAAUCUUCGAAAUAAAAAAAAGGAAUUAUUCUUAAAACUAAAAGCUGGAUUUUUUUAUUAUUAGACUCUUGCGAUCUUUGAUGAGAAUUUAAAUGUUGUUCUGAUAGCUACAAACACCUUGGUGACUUACUUGGUUAAGAGCUCAGUGUCUAACCUAUACAUGCUUCGCUGUGCUGAAGAAAGUCAAUGUACGAUCGCUUCUCUUGUUUUGCUAUUCGGUCAAUCUCACUGAGCAAACAGUUUGCCUCAGUCUAAUAAAAAAAAUACAUCCUCAUGAAAUCCUCCUCACGAAAUCACUUCUCUCUUUCCUUCUCUUUCUCUCUCUCCCUCACACACACACACACACACACACACCUUAAUGAUACAGCAACAGCAGUUGAGGCGCAAUGGCCCAGUGGUUAGGGCAGCGAACUCGCAGUCGGAAGAUCGCGGUUUCGAUUCCGAGACCGGGCGUUGUGUGUGUUUAUUGAGCAAAACACCUAAAGCUCCACGAGGCUCUGGCAGGGGGUGGGUGGCGACCCCUGUUGUACUCUUUCGCUCCAGCUUUCUCUCUCUUUCUUCCUGUUUCUUAUCCCCGACUUCCUACACAACCGCUGAAAGCCUGGAUGCGCAUUCAUCCAUCCGUCGAUGCUCUCGGUGUCGGAAGUUGACCUGCUUUCUCUUCUGCGGGUCUUACGAAUAGCAAAGGACCACGUUUCGGACUUCUCCCAUCUUGCGAGCUCUGGGACGAGGACCGUUCGCUCAACAGCAACAGCAACACACUGCCGCGCAGCGUUGUAAAAGUUUUGAUUUAAUGUAAUAUGAUAGGAAUCCGGUAAAAUAGUUGAGGGUCUUUCGAAAGAGACAAACAUUGGAAAAUAUUAAAAGAACAAAACUGAAAAAAGUCAAAAGAAAAUUUAGUAAAAUGUCGGAAAAAUUCAAAGACCCUAAGACGGACAACAAAGUCUGACGUUUCUGGCUUUUGCUGGUCAGUAAAGAAUAGAAACAUAUCUAAAUAUAUUUAUAAUACUUAUGAAAACCAAAUCUUAUAUCAUUUAUCAAUUAGAACUUUACUCAUUUACUAUUAACUAACUGCAAAUUCUUUUCGCGGUCAACUAUUUUUUAUGUUGUUGUUGAUGUUGUUGUUGUUGUUGUUGUUGUUGUUGUUGUUAGUAAUUAGUUUGGCUCAGCGUUAAAAUGAGUUUAUCAUUUUAAUGAGUUUAUCAUUGAAGUUUUACUGCAAACGGUUAAAUAGCAUCCCUUAUGUUUCAUAACAUUUGGACAAGCAUCUCUCUCUUUCUCUCUGUCUCUCUGUCAGUCUGUCUCUCUCUUUCUCUUUCUCUCUCUCUCUCACACACACAUUCUUUCUCACUCAAUCUUUCUGCAUCUAUCUUUCUAUUUAUCCAGCUUGCUAUCGAUCUAUAUAUCUAUCUAUCUGUCUGUUUUAUUCCUCUAACUCUGCUCUUUCUAAUGAAGAGUGACUGAAAGCAUGCCGUGAACAAACCGUUUUCCAUUUUCUGAAUGUAUGCCCUUCUCUAUUUCUGUCGUCCAUUCUACUUGUAUGCCCGGGUCACUUUCUCGUUAUACACUACCCCCGCAGAAGCUCAUACACAUCAUACAGAACUCUGUGUGUGUGUGUGUGUGUGUGUGUGUGUGUGUGUGUGUGGACAAGACGCCCAUAUAUAAAAUCAUACUCUAUCAUAGUAUAUACAUGUAUGGGUAUACAUGUCUGAGUAAGCGUGUAUACUUGUGUAUCUGUGCGCGUGUAUGUGUGUGUGUGUAUGUGUGUGUGUGUAUGUGUGUUUGUGUGUGUCUAUGUCUGUGUGUUUGUGUGUGCUGGUUCGCAACUGUGUAAAUACUGAUGGCAUAAGAUUGAUGAAAGCAUACACACACACAAUGACACAUACACACACACACACACACAUACAUGCGCACACACAUGCACGCACGCACACAUAAACGUCUGCACGCACAUAGACUUUAUCACAUAAGCAUAAUCACACACACACGUCAUUCACGAUCCCUCACACGCAGACACACAUAUUUGCUCUGACGAAGCCAUACGCACACAAGCAUGAACAAGGACGCCCAGUCGCUCACACACAUACACCAAUACACCCACACACACACACACCCACACACAUCCAUACAUAUAUGCAUGCACACACUCUCUUUCUCUGACACACACACUCACAUAUUCCCACACUCAUUCCUUCUUCUACACACACACACACACAGACGCACCUACCGAUUACCUGUAUGCAUGUAUGCAUGUGCAUACAUGUAUACUGUAUGCUGUAUGCAUGUAUAGAUGUGCAUGUGAAUAUUGUGCAAAGAUGGUCGGAUGUGUUGGGGUUUAAAAGAACACAUCCUCAGCAUGUUGGUGUAGAUUAGUAAAGGAAUAUUCCAGGUAUGAGUUAGAGGAGUAUUCCUGUCGAUAUGAGAAACCAAAGAGACAAACGUGUCGUUGCUAUUAUGCAAAAGUGUCGUAAGUCCAAAACGUUGCUUUUCCAGAAAACGAAAAAAUAGUCUCAACCAUUGCAUAGCAAAACCGUUGUAUUACACUUUGACAAUUUCUGAUAUCUUGGCAUCUGAAGCAGCUGGAGAUACGACAGUUUAACCAAAGGAACCGGCUAUUGCAAGCAAAAAUAUAUAUUGGAUAAAAGAAAACGCAUUUGGUCAAAUUUGGACAUACGACAGCUUAACAUAAUAGCAACGAUAGGUUCUCUUUUUUUCGGUUUUAACGCUUUCUUUACAAUAUCUUCUUGUUCUUAAUUCCAUUUCUCUUUAUAUUCUUUUAGUGAUAAUAUUGUUUUUUUUUCUAUAUUUAUAAUGUUUUGCUUUUUAUAGAUAUUUAAUUUAAUUAAACGUUAUGUAGUUAUGUUAAUGAAUUCGUGGGUGGUAGAUUAAUUAUUGGGUGGUAGACUUGAUUAUUGAAUGGUAAAGUUAAUUACUGAGUGGUAAACUUAAUUAACGAGCGGUACAUUUAAUUAUUGGGAUUAGAUUUAAGUGUUAACCGGUAGAUUUAAAUUAUGUGCUUGCUUAUAUGUACAAUUACUGAUAUUAUGAUCAAUUUAUUUUUAUAUAUAGAUAAAUGAGUGUGUGUGUGUGUGUGUGUAUGCGUGCGUGAGUGUGUGUGUGUGUGUGUGUGUGUAUGUGUGCGUGAGUGUGCGUGUAUAUAUGUAUACUUGUAUGUAUUGUAUGUGGUUAGGGUAAAUCUCAGGUGUUUGUAAUUCCUAUUAGCAAAUGAAACACGUGUAAUGGAGAAUAAAUAAUACGAAAAAAUUUCAUUUUCCUCUCUUUUAUAUAUAUAUAUAUAUAUAUAUAUAUAUAUAUAUAUAUAUAUAUAUAUAUAUAUAUAUAUGUACGCGUUUCACUCCACGUGUAUUACACGCACUACUAAUAGUUCCGCGUAUAUGACAAGUACGUUCAUUGGGCGGUCAUUAUUUUAUGAAACCCAGAAGUAUAAAAUAAUCAGCGCCUGACGAACGUACUUGUUAUGUACUUGAAACUAUCAGCAGCGCGUGUAAUACAUGAGGAGUGAAACGCAUACAUUAAUAUUGGACUCUCAUUAGAUGGAGGACUCUUCUUCUUGAUCAUUUUACGCAGAUUAAUUUACUAUAUAUAUAUAUAUAAUACAGAUAAGGCGACGAAAUUGAAAAUAUUUGUGUGAUGAUAUGGCAAUGCACAGUGUAAGAGAACACGUCUUGAUGACAACCUGAUGAAGUAUCACUCUAAUAUAACCAACAGCAAAUGUUGCGUACAUUUCCACAUGAAAUUAUUUACGUGCAGCGACGUUAGAAGCGACGUGGUACUGAAACAAUUGUAAUAAGGAAAGUGUGCUAAAUCCCUUUUUUUGCUUUCACAAGUGGAUUUCACUCUGCGUAAGACUCACACAUUGCUUUCAUCAGUCACUUUCCUGGACUUCUUCUACCAAAGGACUUUCAAUUCUCCUCGUGGUUUCCGUUUGAGGAUUUAGGUAGCCAGGAGUUCGGGUUGAGUGCUACAUCGUAAGAUAUAUACAUACAUACAUAUAUACAUACAUACUUACAAACAUACAUCGAGGCAUAUACAUACAUGCAUUCAUAUGUAUAUGUAAAUCCACAAAAACACACACUGCUUGUGCACGCACAUACACACUCACAUUAUAAGACACCUACACCUAUAUACACAUAUAAACGCACACAUCAUAUCUGGCGUGCAUACUCCAGUGAGACAAAAAUAGUUUCUUGCUCAUGUUCAAAAGGCUUGCUGUGGUUCGGUUUAUAUAUGGAGCUAUUGUUCGUGAAUUGUGCAUUGAUCUAUCGGAGUAAAUGAAAGGUUUUUCAAAUAUCGGAAAAAUUUCUGUUUUCUGUGGGUAAGAAAUAUAUGCGUCCAGAAUAGCUGUUAAGGAGUGGUGUUCAGCGAAUCGAAUUUUGAAGCGUUUGGUUGUAAAUAAAUUGUAAAGUCUUUUUAUUAAUAGUAUAUGAUUUGAUCAAGGAAAGGCUGGUUGUAUUUAAUUUAUUGGAUUUUUUUUUGUUUUUCAAAUCCCAAAUGAAUUUAGAUAAUGAAGUAUCAUUAAUUACAUUUUGGUUAUGGAACAUGUGGAUUGUAUCAAAAUUUUGAGGCUUGCAACAUGAGUCCAAUAUAUAUCCGAGAUAUUAUUUUCUAUCGUUGCGAGGUAUACAAAAACUUUAACAUUAGUUAUUAGGAUUGAUGUACAAAACUACGUAUAGAUGGAUACAGCUUGUAGUGGUUGAAAUGAGCAAGGCUUUGUGCAAAAUUGGGUUUAGUUGAAAAUGGGACUUCACUAUUGUUUGAAAAUAUUUUAUAGAAUGAUUCAAUAAAUGACUUCCUCUUUUCCUGACCCUAGAAACGCCAAUUUUUUUAAAUUUCCAUCCAUAUACGAGUUACUUCUUUUAUUCAAUUUCUCCGUCGACAGCUAAAUACAUUCCACAUGCACAGAAUUUUGGAUCUCAUUCUUCAACACGCUACGCCAGAUAUUACUUUACUAUAUACAUUCAUAUACAUACAUGCAUAAAUAAGUUUAUACAUAUACAUACACACACACACAAACACAUACACAUGCAUACAACCAUACAUACAUACAUAUAUAUAUAUAUAUAUAUAUAUAUAUAUAUAUAUAUAUAUAUAUAUAUAUAUAUAUAUAUAUAUAUAUAUAUAUAUAUAUAUAUAUAUAUAUAUAUAUACGAGAAAGAAGCAACAAGAAUGGAUUAGUUUUUAGUACAAUUGUUUCAUACAAAGACAGGCUUUAUUACAAGUUGCAAAAAUUGCAGCAGAUAAAAGUGUCCCGUACUCAUCAGCUAAAAUACAUAUGAGUUCUCUAGACAUCUUAGUGGGUGAGGUUAUACUCAUGAAAUAUUGGAGAUAAUUCCAUUAAAGGCAGAUAUAGGUUGUAAACAGUUUUCCAAAGUUCCUUAAUGAUGAUGCACAGACUUAUCACAGAUUUUAAAAAACUUAUUAGUUUCGAAGAGAAGAUAAAUUAAUCCAUAGUGUAGAUUUAAAUUUCCAGAGAUAUGAGGAGGAUGAUGCACAGACUUAUCACAGGUUUUUAAAAACUUAUUAGCUUCACAGAAAAGGUGAAUAUAUAUAUAUAUAUAUAUAUAUAUAUAUAUAUAUAUAUAUAUAUAUAUAUAUAUAUAUAUAUAUAUAUAUAUAUAUAUAUAUAUAUAUAUAUAUAUAUAUAUAUAUAUAUAUAUAUUAAAUAUGACAAGAGUGUUAGAACACAUACAUUGCUAGAAAUAAGAGCUAAAAAGCCCCAAUGCUGUAGUUAAAGCACAUAAUUGAACCUUUUAGCUUUAUUUGUAGUAAUGUUGGUGUUCUAACACCCUAAUCAUAUUUAGUGAGAAUUAUAGUUUUCUGUUUGGUAAAUUAUUAAUUUUAUAUAGAUAUGCGAGUGUGUGUGUGUUUGCGUAUAUAUAUAUAUAUAUAUAUAUAUAUAUAUAUAUAUAUAUAUAUAUCAUGAUUCGAACUCGAAACAUUAUUACAUCCUUUUCCUUUGUAUUUCAUAUCUUUACUGUCUCUUAAUCAUAAUAGUGUUUACAUUUUAAAAAAAAACAGUAUUUUGAAAAUCUAAACGAUUUGGUUCCGCAGUUAGUAUAUAUAUAUAUAUAUAUAUAUAUAUAUAUAUAUAUAUAUAUAUAUAUAUAUAUAUAUAUAUAUAUAUAUAUAUAUACUGAUGCUGAGCAUACACACACACACACACCCCAUGCACUCAGACACACGCACACUCUACAUGUAUAUGUAGGCGUGUAUAUUUGUACGCAAGUAAUCACGAAUCUUUUUGUUUCCAUUUGUUUGUAACAUAUUCUUAACGGAUAACAAGGAAAGAUAUUAGAGAAUGGCCCCAGCUUCGAAACUGGAUCGAGAGUUCAAUUUGCAGGCAGUUUAUUUGACUACUUUUUGCGUCAGUGAACUAAGAGGGUUCUAUAAAAGAACGAUCCUCGCCAAAAAUACCGCUGAUUGAUUGUUCUAAAACAUUUCUAAUUUGGUUCCGGAACCAUAAAUAUAUAUUUUAAUGAAAGGUCAAGAACCAGUCAUUGCAUUAAUCACUACAGUUUGUUACUCAUAUCUGGAUGGUUUUCAUCAUUCUUUUAUGAACGGAUUCUAUAUCUGUGAUCGAUAAUAAAAUACACACAAAAAAUCUAUGUGAAAUAGCAAUAUUAAGUAAUCGAAUCUGCCAUGAAAUGCCAGUACAAUUCUUUGUGGAUUAUCAUGGAUUAACUUUUAGCUCAGUAAAUAACAAAAAAACAACACUUUCGCUAUAGUUUGUGUGACGCUAAAAUCUUUUUCGUUUCUUCUCUAUCUCGAAUGAAUUUUAGAAAUUCCAAUAUCUUCCAAAAGUAUCAAUGCAGUUUUCUUAAAUUUCUUUUAGGUUUUCAGCCUUUGCCCGGAAAAUAACAGGUUAUUAAAAGUUCUGUAAAGGUGUGAUUCAGGUUUUAAUUAAGAUGUGUUAUUAGAUAUGGCGUUAGUUAUUAAGCUUAUUAAUAAUAAUUCGUCCAUCUAUAACAUCAUGUUUGUAUUAGUUUCCAGAAAAUUCACUGGUAUUUGGUUUAACGCUAAUACUUGGUCCAUCGUGUUUAUUUAGCGCACUCUUCUCUCUUACAAAACUUCCAGUCAGGAUUCCUGUUUGGUCUUGAGCUGUAGAUACCAGUUACAAUGAUUUUGGUACUACCUACUUUUCCAUAGGGGCCUUGCAAGUAAGGAUACUGUCUUCGUUCAGGACCCAAUCAUAAAAAAAUGUUUAAGUCACGCAUAUACUGGCAAGUUUUCUUUAUCUCUUUCUCAAAGAUUAGGAAAAAAAAUAUGUUUUAAAUUUUACUUCUGUUCUAGAUUCUUGGAUCCAGCCGCGAGAGGUCUGUCACACCGCAUUUAUUUCAAAUACUAGCAGAAAACCACCUGGGAAGAGUGUUUCUACUAGCAUUUUUAAUGAAAACGAUUGAAUAGCGGCGGUAGAGAGAUAGAGAGAAGGGUGAUAGAGAGAAAGAGGUGGUUGAGAUAGAGAGAUAGAGAGCGCGAGACAGUGUUGCAAAAAAUGAAAGCGAAUGUAACGGUGGUGGGGGGAGACGAGAAGUAUUAAAUGGAAGAAAUACAAAUGACGUUUGUGUGAGAGAAAAGAGAUGAGGAGAGAAGAGAGUAAGGCUUUAAAAAACGCUGACUAUCUCGCAAUGAAUAAACUUAGUUGUCUGCUAGAAACACGUAACUGAAAUCUACAAUAAUAAAAGAAAGUUUGAAAAUCACAUUUUGAUAAAAAUAUAUUAAAAUUGAAACUUUAAGAAUUUUCUAGACAGAAUAUUAAAGCGAAUAUAAAACAUAUUCGCAUUCUUUUAGUAACAGCUGUAUAUUCGUAACUAAUGAAGAAGCAGCUUUCCUUAUCAUAUUAUAGAUAUAGGGAAUCUAGGAGUUUUCUUUAAAUCAAAUUUCAUUAAAGCUAUUAAACUAUAAGAAAUCAAUAGUAAGCAUUUCUUAUACAGUUUCAAAUUGUUGGACCGGGCUUUGUAAUUCUGGUUGAGAAACGGUUGCUGCAAAUCAGUGUGAAAAUGGAUGAAAAUUAAAAUAAAAACGAAAACGAUUGUGGUUUUCAGCUAAUUUUAUUGCUGGGAACUUUCAAUCAAGCUCAGAUGUAAGCUGUCCAUAUUGUCAAUGCCGAGUCUUCUUUUAUUCAUCUCUUCCACCCUUACAAUAUUAUAAUACAAUACCGAGACGACUAUAUAUAUAUAUCAAUACUACUGUGGUGACAUGUACAUACAUACAUACAUACAUGACACAAGUAAGGUUGGAAGAAAGAUAAAAGGAAAACUGUUUAUUAAAAUGUUCAAACCUGUUCUGAACGGAAAUAACAGCAAUAAUAUAACAACCAGUUAAGGAUUAGUGGAUUUAAUAAAUAUAAACAAGUUACAGAAUACCGGGUACGCCUGGCAAACCGUGAUGUUUAAGAGCAUGCGGAGUGGUCAAAAAGGUAUUCUAAAACUUCAGCUGGCUGGAGCAUUCUAAGAGGUACGAAAGUUGUCAAAAACUUAACCGUCAAUUAAACACAUUUGAAAUCUGAUGAUUACCACAAAUGUAUGAAAGUGCUAAUUUUGUUAAAAUACUAUAAUAAAAAACGUGGAAACUAGACUGCUUUAACAUUAUUCAACUCAUAUAUCAUUCUAUACACAUUCACACAAAUUCGAAACAAUAUAUAUAUAUAUAUAUAUAUGCAUCCACACAUUCCAUAUAUAUGCGAGCGCGCGUGUGUGUGAUUCAUUCAUUGUUGAAUGAAUCAGUGAUAAACGAGGAUAGAUGUAGUUCAGAAAAUUAUAACUUAAUGAAAAUUCAUUCAGUUGGUUGUUCGAUACGUUAUUCAUAGCCUUAGUUUCGAUUUGUAUCGAAUUAGUAAGGAGUGUCAUAAAAAGAAAGAUAUCUCUAAGGAAAGUGCGUAAUGCAUAAUUUUGGCCACCAAUCCCAUCAUUAUGAGACACCCACUAUUUCGAUAAUCCAGUAGUAAAAUUAUGAAUAGUCAUGGUACUAUCAGUAUGGUAUAAAUGCUAUUUGGGGGAAAUGGUGGUUAUAUGUUAAAAAAAUUUGUAAAUUGUAGCUGCAUAAAUAUUUGAAAUUUUUUUUCAGAGUGAGAGAUGAAAUUUACUUUUAUUUUUAUUUGCAUGUUACUGAUUUUUGUUCGAAUAAUUUCAUAUUCAUAUUUCCCACAAUCCUUGUUGGAUUACAGCACGGAAAUCUACGUUUAUAUAUUUGUAUUUUAUAUUUUGUGGUGGUAAUCUUGAGCCAAAUGUACUUCAGGUCAUUGAACUUGUUAGAUAAAUGAAUUGCUUUUCUUUUUAUUUUUGUCUGAUGAGAUGAUCAUGGAUCACAUGUAAUAUAUUGUAAUGUCACACAUCCAUUUAUAUUUAUAUUCAUGGUGGAUCUCACCCAUGUAUUGUUGAAACGAUCGUAACAAAGGAAUAUAUGCAAUACCUUAACUUCCAUUCUUAGACUAACCAUAUAUAUAUUUUUUCUUUUUGUCUUUCACGAUAUUAAAUGCCACUUUAUCCCUCAAAAUCAGCAUUUUUACAGCUUCCAGAAUACUUCUCUAUUGACAUUAAUUUUACACCAAAAUAAGAACAUAACACAUUUUAUAAGAUCAUAAAUUUGAGACUAAUUUUAAGCUUUUUGAAGACAUUUUUCUCUGCAUAUUUCAUCACGGCCAUCUGUUUCUAAUAUAAACCAAUUGUAGAAUAACCUAAUUCUCAUAAAGAUAACCUGCUAAAGCCAUAUUUAUAUACACCUAUAUAUGCACUUUCAUGACUAUCUAUAUUCAUCUGCCAAUCUGAAUGUCAUCAUCAUCCAUUAUUUCCCUCAUCGUCUGCUAUAUUUUCAUUUACAGGAUUCAUUUCAUUUGAAGUAGAUUUGAAACUGGAGAAUUUUGACUUCGUACAUUGCAGCGCAAUAAUAUAUGCUAAAACAAAAAAAAAACAAAAAAAAACAAGAGGUUUUGCUUACAAUGAAUCAAUAAGGUCAACUAGAUCACAUGACGUAUUCAGGGAGAAUAACUGUGUUGGCCGCAAGCGAUUGUUGAUCCCCGGAAGUGACUGAGAAUAAUGUCUUGUCUUCUAGAGAUGAAUGCGUCUGAUUUGUUUUUAUUUUAUUUCAUAUUUUUUUGUUGUAUAUAUGUUGUUGUUGUUGUUGUUGUUGUUGUGUGUGCUUUGUUUUUUUUCACCUGUUUUUUUAAGAGUUAAAAAUCUUGAAUUCACCAUCAAAACAAAAUAUAAGAACAUCGUUCUAAGUGCAAAAUAAGUAAGUAACGAGUAGCGAUACAUAAAUACAUAUUAAUUGCAUGCGUAAUAUUGGUUUCAAAUUUUGGUACAAGGCCAGCAAUUUCGGGGUGGAGGGAGAUAAAUCGAUUACAACGAUCCUCAGGUACUUAUUUUGUAGACCUCGAAAGGAUGAACGGCACAAUCCACCCCGAAAGGCUAUGUAAACUUAGAACGUAAAGACGGACCAAAUACCGCUAAGCAUUGUGCUAAGCAUAAUGACUCUGCCAGCUCUCCACCUUAUACGGGACAAAAUGUCACUUGUGGAGAGGAUUUUCCUUGUAGGACGAACUUUAGAGAGAAGAGAUACGCAGCGAUAUGAUCCUUGUUGAUCUAUUACUGGUUCUUAUUCCACUUUUCAUGGCCUUAAUUAAAUUUCUCAUUGAAACUUACCGUUUAUGAUACUACAAAUCGUCUUCUAUUAGGCUGUUAUUAUUAUUAUCAUCAUCAGCAUUAUUAUUAUUAUUAUUAUUAUUAUUAUUAUUAUUAUUAUUAUUAAUUUUUAUUAUUAUCUUUAUUAUCAUCAUUAUUACUAUCAUUAUUAUUAUUAAUUUUUAGUAUUAUUAUUAUUAUUAUAAUUAUUAUUAUUAACAUUAAUAUUACUAUUAAUUAUUAAUUUAAUUAAUAGUAAUGAUAAUAAUUAUUAUUAUUAUUUAUUAUCAUUAUUAUUAUUAUUAUCAUUGUUGUUGUUGUUGUUAUUAUUAUUAUUAUUAGCGUUAUUAUUACUAUCAUCAUCAUCAUCAAUAUCGUUAUUAUUAUUAUCAUCAUCAUCAUCAUCAUCAUCAUCAUCAUUAUUAUUAUCAUUAUUAUUAUUAUUAUUAUUAUUAUUAUUAUUAUUAUUAUUAUUAUUAUUAUUAUUAUUAUUAUUAUGCUUUUCUAAGUAGGAGGAAAGAAACUGGAAGAUAGCCUAUUUCCCAUGUCUUGGGGAUGGUAGAGUAAUCGAAGACUUUGUAUGAGGUUUAUCCCGAAUUACCCUAAGUGGAUUGCCCCACCCCAGCCCAUUGGGGAUUCAAUUUAUUUAUUUGUUUAUCUAUUAUUUAGUAUUUAUUUCUCUAAUUUCUGUUUAUAUAUUUUUCGUUGUGCCCUUUGCUGCUGUAGUGUCUCCCUUUAUUCCAUGCAACCCCCUUCUUUUUAUGUGUUGUAUCUCGUCCUUUGAUCUUGGGUUCCAUGUGUUGGGCCCUUGUAACCAAUAAAAGAAAUCCUUAUUGUUGUUGUUGUUGUCGUCGUUGUUGUUGUUGUUGUUGUUGUUGUUGUUGUUGUUGUUGUUGUCGUUGUUGUUGUUGUAAAGGCGGUGAGUUGAGAGAAUUCUUGUAACGCCGUACAAAAUGCUUAGCGGCGUUCAAUCCGUCUUACCGCUCUAAACUCAAAUUCCGCCGAGACUUAACUUUGCCUUUCGUUCUUUCGGAAUCGAUAAAAUAAAUACCAGUUGAAUACUGGGGUCCAUGUAAUCGAUUCGCCCCUCUUCCAAAAUUGCAGGCCAUGUCCCUAUAGCAGGAAGGAUUGUUAGAGCGGCGAGCUGGGCAGAACCGUUAAUACGCCGGAUAAAACGCUCAGUGGUAUUUUUGUCCGUCUUUACAUUUCUGAGCUCAAAUUCCACCAGGAACGGCUUUGGCUUUCAUCCAUUCAGGGUUGCUGAAAUAACUACGAGUUGUGCAGUCGAUGUAAUCUACUUGCCCCCCCCCCCCCUCCACACCAUCCCUAAAAAUUUCAGGCAUAGUGCCGAUGCUAGAAAAAACUAUUAGUAUUUCUUCUUCUUCUUCGUCUUCCUCUUUUUCUUCUUCUCCUUCUUCUCCUCCUUUUUCUUCUUCUUCUUCUUCUUCUUCUUCUUCUUCUUCUUCUUCUUCUUCUUCUUCUUCUUCUUCUAUUCCUUUUCUUUUUCUUUUUUCUUUUCCUUUUUCUUUACAUACAUACAUACAUGCAUACAUAUAUAUGACGGGCUUCUUUCAGUUUCCGUCUACCAAAUCCACUCACAAGGCCUUGGUCGUCCCGAGGCUAUAGUAGAAGACACUUGCCCAAGGUGCCACGCAGUGGGACUGAACCCGGAACCAUGUGGUUUGUAAGCAAGCUACUUACCACACAGCCACUCCUACGCCCAUUAUCAUUAUCAUUAUUAUUUAUCAUUAUUAUUAUCAUUAUUAUUAUCAUUAUUAUUAUUAUUAUUAUUAUUAUUAUUAUUAUUAUUAUUAUUAUUAUUAUUAUUAUUAUUCAAGUAGGUUGAUAUAAGUGCCCCUACGCUUGACUGAAAUGCUCGCCUGUCUUUAGUUCUGUCUCUCAAUUUGUCCUUCAAAUCCCUGCUCAAUGUCCAGUUGUGUGGACAUCAUCAUCAUCAUCCUCUGCCACCACCACCACCACCCUCAUCGCCAACAUCAUCAUUAUAUCAUCAUCUUUACCAUCUUUAUCAUCAUCAUCAUCAUCAUCACUACCACUACUAACAUCAUCAUUAUCAUUAUCACCAUCAUCAUCAUCAUCAUCAUCAUCAUCCUCUGCCACCACCACCACUACCAUCAUCAUCAACAUCAUCAUCAUAUCAUCAUCAUCAUCAUUAACAUCAUCAUCAUCAUCGUCGUCGUCGGUAUCUUCAUCGCCGUCACCUUCAUCGUCGACCAUUUUCCAUCACCCUCAUACUAAAUAAAUUAAAAAAAAAGAAACUGGUGUUCAUGUUUUUUUUCUUUUCUUUUGCUUUGUUUUUUGUUGUUGUUGUUGUUAAUGUUUCGUUCCAGGUGUAUAAUUGAAGUGUAUGAAACAUUCAAAUGAAAGGAAAUAAAAUGGUAAUUUAUAUCGAAUCAGGAACAAGCGAGAAUUAGGUGCAGGGCAUAACUGCUGUUAGAAAGUACGAUCCACUACCACGUGGUUCAGGGUUCGAUCCUACAGCAUAACACCAUGAGUAUAUCUGCUAGAAUAUCCUCAGGGGGUCAACGUAAGCGCUAUGAAUAAAAUACGACUGUGUAGACUUACUCACGUGUAUUUGCGGUGGUAUUUACCCGGGGUGGGUUGAGCCAGCUCCGACCAGGCAAGUUCACCACGCCCUUCACAAACGCUAACCACAUUCAACUGUAGGCACUAAGCUUGGAGGGGGUAGAGCAAUGCUUUCUGUAGCUGCAAUUCAAGCUCAUAUAUUUCACAAGAGCAAGUGUACCGGAUCGAACAGACGCUGUAGCCAUAGUAGUCAGUCGUUGUUGAGGUGUAGAGGCCAUGUUCGGAGUCAUGUCCGGCAAGUUCACUAUCAUUAAUUCACCGAACGAAUGUUUUGACAUAAUUUUUCGACUUCAAUUUUCUCUCGCAUUUUUUUUUGUUUAUUUUUUUUUCCAAUUAAGUAGUUUUUAACUAUUAAUGGUGAGAUAUUAUGGUUAUAUUUUCUCGGUAAAUCUCUCUUGCCAUGAACUAUUUCGUACAGCAAAGUCGUCGAGAUGUAUAAGUCGAUUUACCUUUUACUGGCUGUAAAUUUUGGUCAGAAAACUUCGACUUGUAUGCCGGAAAAUAAGGCAUUUUAUAGCUAUAUUCAUGAGAGACGAACGAAUAUAAUACUUUUCUUGUUUCUUUUAAUUAUUAUUUUUUUAUCGUUUCACCUGAACUUAUAAUCACAGACUUUCAUCAUUUCUACAAGUCUCAUUUACCUGUAUUUGAUUUGAAGCUCUCGUUGAAAUACCUGCUUUAAAUUUACAAUUACAAAGCUACACCGAUCUAUAAUUUUAUUCCUAUUUCAUUAAUAAUGGCGGUUUAUCAGGGCAUCGCAUUUAGAAUUUAUUGUCAGUUUUAUUUAAUGAUUUUUUUAAACAUUAACUCCACUUUUUGUUUGUUUGAAAUAUCCGAUCAUAUCGCAUUUGUAGCUCUUAUUAAAGGUGAGUACAACAUAGAUUUCAUAUUCAUGGCUUUAUUUACAACGAAGAUUUCACAGCCUUUUUAUUUAAUUUCCUACAAUACAAUAAACAAAUAAAUUAUUCGCUUAUUUAGUAUAUCUUUGCAUCUUUUGAAACCUUAUCGUUAGAUAUAUUUGCCAUAUUACAUAACUAUUAUAUGAUAACCAAACAUAUUUUUUUUUCAGAAUAAUAGAAAUAAUAAAAAUAAAUUUAACCAAUAUUUUCUUUGUUUUCAAUUUUUAUUAGUUUAUCAACAACAAGAAUAUUUUAAUUUCAUACAUACACACACACAUAGAUAUAUAUAUAUAUAUAUAUAUAUAUAUAUAUAUAUAUAUAUAUAUAUAUAUAUAUAUAUAUAUAUAUAUAUAUAUGGAAUUCACACAGAUAAAAUAAGAAAUACAGAAUGUUGUCGAUAUUUACUUUAUGUUACGUUCAGAGUUCAAAUUCUGCCGUAGUCGACUUUGCCUUUCAUUUUUUCGGGGUCGAUAAAAUAAGUACCUGUCAUGUACAGGGGUCGAUGUAAUCACUUACUCUCCCCGCGAAAGUGUUGGUCUUGUGCCAAAAUUUUAAACCAUUAUUUGCUUAAAGUUAACCCACUGUUCUGUAUUACGUGAAAAUAGUAUUAGUCUGUGCGAACGUUUUUGUUUCAAUUUAGUGGACCUCUAAAGUAUACUAGAGACAACAACAGAUAACUGGUCAUUGAUAUAUUUCUUAGGAUUGUGGUUCUUUGGAGAUUUACAUAUUUGAUUAGUGACAUUACUUGGAGGGUGAGUAUUUACUGAAAAUCUCAGUUAUAUAAUAUGUUGAAUUUGAUGACUCUUAUCAACUUAGUCCUACGAACUGACGAAAGUUCCUCCAUUUGAGGAAUAAGGGAAUUCCUCGCCCACGAGUAAGAUUCUACCAAAAUUCAGAUCUGAUAUUACGCAGUUAUUGCGCACAUUCUCCUACCAUGGCCCCGACCCGACCAAGGCCUUGUGUGUGAAUUUGUUGAAAGAGACUGUAUAACUGUAUAAACUAUAUAAAAGCAGGCCGCAUAGGCAUGGCUGUGUGGUAAUAAGUUUCCUCUCCAACCACGGGGUUCCGAGUUCAGUCCCAUUGUGUGGUACUUUGGGCAAGUGACUUCUACUAUAACCUCGGACCGACUAAAACCUAGUGAGUGGAUUUAGUGGACAGAAAUUGAAAAGAACUCUGUUUUAUAUAUAUAUAUAUAUAUAUAUACGUAUGUGUGUGUCACCAUGGUUUGACAACCGGUGUUGGUAUGUUUAUGUCCCCGUAACUCAGUGGUUCAGUAAAUAGAACCGGAUAAAUAAGUAUUCUAUCAGACCAGAUUUUAAAAGAACUGGGUGUUUUGAGCGACGAAACUUCAAUGCGGUGACCCACACCACGGGACCAUUUACUUUUUUAUCCUUUUCUUUCGCUGGUUGCUUCUAUGUCCACUAAAUUCCACUUGCAAGGCAUUGGUCAACCGGAGGAAUAGAAGAAAGAGAAAACGCUUGCUCGCGAAGGCCCGGGAUGCCUCGCAUUUUCCUCGAACCCGUAAUUACAUUGUUGUGGAGCGACUUUCUGAACCACAUAUUUAUGCCACCCUCUAAAUAUAUCGCAAGAAAUAUAAUGAUUGUCUGUGAUUUGCAUCGAAGUCUAAAACAUCCGAUUUUAUCGUCCAAGCCUUUCCAUCAAGCCAUCGCUGACGAAAAGUUUCUAUUUGGCAAGGAAUCUAAAUUUGUUUGCUAACUCUGCUUGCCAAAUUCGUACCGCGAUGCAUAACGGUGCCCGACACGUCAUAUAGCGUCAUAAAUCUAAUAAAGACAAACAGAGUAAUUAAAGAGUUCCAUUAGGUUUUUAACUGGAAAAAUGGAGAACAGAAUUGUUGGCCACAUCAAUCAUACAACUGAGUUUAUUUCCAGACACACAGACACACACAAACACACAGAGGAAGAAAAAAAACGAAACAUCUACAGACUAAUCAUUUGGCAAGUGUAAUCGUAUAAUUCUUAAAGUUAGCUAUUAAUACUCUGAGUCUGUGUGAAGAACCCGGUCCAAUGAAACUACGAAAGAUCUUCGUAGAAAUAUAAGAACCCAGAGAAAUUAAUUAUAUAAAUCCAAAACCUUUGUGCGUGUAUUUUUUAAUCCUCAUCAGCUUGGUCGGGCAUUUUUAACCAUUACACGCCAUCCAUCUAGGUUCAUAUACGUUGAGGUGGGAAAUGAAGAUAUUGGUACAAAUAGAUAUUUGGUGGGAAAUAAAGAUAUUGGUACAAAUAAAUAUUUGGUGGGAAAUAAAGAUAUUGAUACAAAUAAAUAUUUGGUGGGAAAUAAAGAUAUUGGUACAAAUAAAUAUUUGGUGGGAAAUAAAGAUAUUGGUACAAAUAAAUAUUUGGUGGGAAAUAAAGAUAUUGGUACAAAUAAAUAUUUGGUGGGAAAUAAAGAUAUUGGUACAAAUAAAUAUUUGGUGGGAAAUAAAGAUAUUGGUACAAAUAAAUAUUUGGUGGGAAAUAAAGGUAUUGGUACAAAUAAAUAUUUGGUGGGAAAUAAAGAUAUUGGUACAAAUAAAUAUUUGGUGGGAAAUAAAGAUAUUGGUACAAAUAAAUAUUUGGUGGGAAAUAAAGAUAUUGGUACAAAUAAAUAUUUGGUGGGAAAUGAAGAUAUUGGUAAAAAUAAAUAUUUGGUGGGAAAUGAAGAUAUUGGUACAAAUAAAUAUUUGGUGGGAAAUAAAGAUAUUGGUACAAAUAAAUAUUUGGUGGGAAAUAAAGAUAUUGGUACAAAUAAAUAUUUGGUGGGAAAUAAAGAUAUUGGUACAAAUAAAUGUUUGGUGGGAAAUAAAGAUAUUGGUACAAAUAAAUAUUUGGUGGGAAAUAAAGAUAUUGGUACAAAUAAAUAUUUAGUGGGAAAUAAAGAUAUUAGUACAAAUAUAUAUUUGGUGGGAAAUAAAGAUAUUGGUACAAAUAAAUAUUUGGUGGGAAAUAAAGAUAUUGGUACAAAUA
rnacentral:lncRNA from 1 species